GCCUGGGUGGCUCAGUCGGUUGAGUGUCCGACUUCAGCUCGGGUCACGAUCUCACAGUUUGUGGGUUCAAGCCCCGCGUCAGGCU
rnacentral:tRNA from 1 species